UAGAUUGAUGACACCCUUUAAGGGACAGUUAUCUAACCAAUUAUUAGCUUGUUUGCCAAGUAAUCAUUACACGUUUUCUAAAUUAUCCAUCAUUUCUUCAUCGUCGAGAUUUCACUUUUACUCGGGUUAUCGUAAAAUCGUAACAACACACAGUUAGAUUCUGAAGAAAAACACAUCACAUCCACAAAAUUCUUUUAUCUAUCUUCCGGUACCAACUUUUGCAACUUACUCCCAAGUUUUAUACCGAUUACGUGUGCUAUCAUCGUCUGCUGUAUCUUUCAGAUUUAACUUGGAACAGACGUUACUCAAUAGACCGUUGCCGGGUAAACUUUUUGCUAUUGUGUGGAAUAAAAGACGAGAGUUUUCCCCCUCGAUGUCUUCUGAUGGAAAUGGGACACCGGCGCAUUGGACCCCGGCACACUAAGGAAUAAUUACCAACCACGCCCUAUUCACUGCUGCAAGGAUCUGUGCACUUGCACAGAAGCCAGACAGAAUAACAUCACACACAGGGGGUUCUAAUUGCGUUCGUUAUCAGCAACCAAGGGAGCAGUCAAAUGUGGAGAUAAUUGCGAAUAUACCACGAAACUCGAUGGGUUUUCGAAGCUACAGAGAAAACUGUUAACGUACACGGAUGUUUGUGGUGUUCGUCAAUCGUUUUUCCAUUAACGCUUUCUUUUGUGUUUAUUUGUAUUAAAACAACAACAAAGCGUGUCCUUGGUUUGCGGCAGUUAAACUCAGGAAUCACGAACGGCGUGCACGAAAAGUAGUGGGUACAUCAAAAUAUCCCCCGAGGUGGCGCUGUAUUCUAAUUUUGAAAAAAAAAAGGAGCAGACCUUGGGGGGUGGUUUACUGUUUGAUGAGUAAUUCGUUUGAACGAUAGCAGCAUUCAGUCACGCGGAAUAUUUUGUUUACAAGUUUGGCGGACGAAAGGUGUGGUAGACAUUCUAAUCAGAUUUUUUUUCUCUCAGGGUUGUUGACGUAAUUGCGGUAUCCAUAACUGUGUAUCUUUUAUAGUUUGUCGAUAAUUACACUUUGUAGAAUCUCCGUUUCACAUUCAGAGAAAAUCACGAAACGUAAACAAUUGAGCUUUUUUAUCAUGAUUUGAGCAUAGCAAGUGCGUAGAGUUUGCGGAGUCCAUCCUGAAAAUCAUAUUCUAAUGAGGCAGCCGUUAUGCAAGAACUUUCUAGAAGCAUUGAAGAUAAGCAAUUUAAUUGUUUUCAAAGACUUGACGAGGCAUUCACUAUUCAUAGAGACAAAAAUGUGUUGCUUUGAUGUUUCAUUUCGUUUGUCGAAUUCUAAAAUUUUGGGUGGGGCGUACUGAUUAGUUUACGGCUCUCUAACUUCUUCAUGUUUCUAUUGAUUACCAUACGACUGAAAGCGUGUUUAGCAUACGCAACAUUACCCGCUAGAGCUGCUCUUUAUAUUUUCUUACAAUCAAACAAGUAUAUAUGCACUGUGAUAUUGUAUUAUCCAGAAAUUCAAUUUAUGGCUCACGUCUGCUGAUAACAAACUUCCCUGUAACACAGACAUUUGUAUACGGGCUUGAUAAUCAGAGCUGUAUAGAUGAUUGUAUAGAAAACCAGUAUGAAUCAAUUUUGGAAAUGAUGCCAAAUUCCAUUCUUCCUUGUAUUUUAAACAUAUCGGUCCGCAGGUGAUAACGUGACCCAUAAAAGGGCGGCCUUGUCCCGAGAGUUUCAAAUUUCACGAUUUAAAAAAUCGUCGAAUUUUUUUUUUUAAAUUUGAGAAAUGUUGAUCCACAAAAAUCGGUUCGCCAUGAAAAAAGCCUUUAAAAAAUUAGGUUCAAGUUGAUUCGAUCGUCAUUAGCUUAAACUAGAGGUUAGUUGGGCUAUUCCGAAAAACAUUCCGAUUGCGGGUCAAGGCGCAUUCCUAAUGACAAACGUGAAUCUAAAUCCAGCAGUGGGCCAAAGAAAAUAAGAAAAGAGAAAGAUAUUUAAAGAUUGCCAUAUAUAAAAAGACCGUAAACAUUUUUCUUUUAAUAUUGUACGUGGUUUCACGUAAGAUGGCGCUGCAGUACAUGACUGGAGAUCAUUAGUUUUUUUUUGCCGUUGGAUGGAUGAGACGUGACUUUUUCUUUUCCGUAACGAAUAAAUCAUACUUUUCAAUCGACCAUGCCCAAAUCGAACCCACCUGCAGUUUAGAUUCAAAGACCCCUCCCAAAUAUAUUUAUUUUAUAUGGAAAGAUUUUGGUUUCGCCCUUGAGGGAUAAUCACACGAAUAUUUGUGGUACCUGAACUUUUUAUCGUGUUAUAGUCAAAGGAGGAAAACAAGAUCGGAUGACUAGUCAUCCAGUGGCGUUCAGCGUUACCUGCGAAAACGAACGAUAAAAUUGCUGCUAAAAUGGAAAAGAAAAAUUGGUUCAAGUUGUCGUCUUGGUAUUUAUUCGAUUUUCACUUGUGUCGAUAUAAACUGGUAGAAAGUGGGUCAUAACUUUGCAUUUCUGAUGGUUAUGCGAUUUUUUUUUUUAAAGAAAUAAAAUCAAAUGGCUCAUUUGGCAACUUCGUUCGGACGUGACGGCAUUCCUUUUCCUAUUGUAAUCCAACUUUUUAAUCUAAUAACGUAAAGAUCCGGUAAGUAACCAGGGAAAACGUUGCAGUCCAUACUGGAACAGCUUUCUGCAGAGUCGCAACAUUUGCCACGGUUUAGUAUUCCAAUCUGAUUUACCUGAACCGCCUUUACCUGCAUUUCUGUCAGCCGAUUGCAUCGAUUAUGCCACGUAUCUCAAAUUGUGAAUGUAAAAAAAGAACAGGAGCGUUUAGUGUUUUUCUGUAUUUAUUCAAGACGUUGAACAGCUGUGCCAAUCGGUUUGAAAUCCAAUAAAGUACGAAAUAAAAACAUUGAAAGUAAGGAAAUUGAAAACUUUCCCCUACCACUCAUUUUCCAAAAAGUUUAGUGGUUUUUCGACUUUCUCACGACCAAAGAAAAGUAUCGUUCAUUUUUUUUAUUGUCCCGCGUGAAAACACACAAACCCUCGGCAUUCACAACACCCCGUACUCUGUGUACAGUCAACGAAGUAAAGAAAAACACAGAAAUUGUUGUUAGAAUGGGCACUUUUUUUUCUUUCAAUUGAGUGGCUUCCAUGUUCGUUCUUGUGCGUGAAAGACAUUUUCGGUCACGUUUCCGGUUAUUGAAUCUUUGAUUACAAUCACUGAAAUGUAUGGAACGAUGUAGUCCGCGCUGACAACAUUAAGAAGCUUAUUUAUUUAUUAUGACGACAUUUUUUGAUUUGUCAUUCAGUGAACGUCAAAAGAAAAAUGACCCUCGACUUGAAUUAAAAUGCAACACGUAGCGUUCCCCUUCUAAAUUUUUGCUCUUUUUAAGAAUAAUCCAAAAAGUGAGUCAAGAAGAUGUUCAAGGAGAUACAACCUUUGUGAAAGAAUAACUUUCCUUUUGGACGUGUAAAGUGGUAAAACAUGAAUGAUGUACGUGAUUUCCCGGGAUUUUAUUCUUCUGAAUCUCUUUAUUGCAAAGACUUUAUUGUAGGUGAGGUAGCAUUUUUUUAAAACUCGAGUAAAAUAACAUUCGUUUUGCUGAAAUUCAAAAUGUCCUUGAUUGUUUCGUAAUUCAAAAGUUAGUGUCCUUUUUGUACAUAAUAAAAGAGGAUUUCCCUUCUAACAUUCGUUACAUCAAAAUGUAUUUAGGUUAGAUAAUGUUUAAUUGACUUUGAUUACAUUUUUCAUAGAGUAUAAUCCCAUUCAUUUGCAUAAUUUGCGCAAAUGUAACUUGGCACGUGUAGCCCUUAGGUUGGUAACAGAGAGGCAGGGGAAGAAAAAAAAAAAUAAUAGAUAAACCGCCAAAAUCGUGGGAAACCACGGGUAGGGAAACCAAAAUUUUGCAUAGUAUUCCUUAGGGGAAUUCGUUUUAAUAUGUUUACCCAAAGAAAAAAAAUUGUUCAAGGGCAACGAUUUUCAGGAAAAAGAUCAAGGACGUUGAGGAUGGGUACGCAAAUUCAAAAGCGAAAACCAUAUGCAAAUGAUCAAUUUCGUCAAAAAGCAACCACAAAUAUGAUAAGAAUUUACAUAAUUUGCUACAAUGAAGAAACACGUGGUGAGAGCAAUAAAUAAAUAUCUAACUACAUUUCUCAUUAAACAGCAUCCAAAUUGUAAAUGAUUUCUAGCCAAUGUAGAAGCGUAGAUGAAAGUGAACUGGAAUUUUGUUAAAAGAAUUAAACUUUCUCUAUGUUAAGCCCCAUAAAGUACGAGUAAUGUCUAUUGGUGUAUCAUAAAUUUCAUUUCUUUGGCAAAGUCAAAAAUUCUGAAAAGAUAAAAAAUGGCCGUCGUGCUGAACGAGAGACAAACAGAUGGCGUAGGGGAAAAGAGAGUUGUUCGUCUGGAGUAAGAAGUUGGUAAGAGAAACUGCAAAUGACUCCGCAACAACCAAAAUUUCCUUGGAUACUUCACGUAACCACAGUUGCUGUUGUUGGUAUGAUGUGCAAGUAAAAAUUUCUUGACGUCCGUCCGGCAGACCUUGGUCCAGAAACGUCACGGGUAUUUUCCCCCCAUCACAUUAAGAAAUGUUUUCAAAGUUGCUGGUUGCACUUCCAAAUACGUACGAAAGGAUGACGUUGUGGAUUUCUUUGACUUAACAACCGUUUUAUUGUAAUCAUGUUUCGUGUUAAGCCCUUGUUGUGUUCGUUUCGGCUGCUUGGCCAACGUCGGCUGCUAACUUUAUCUUUGAAAGCAAUCUCCGUUACGCUUUUAAGGAAAUGUUUAAACAAUAGAAAGCGUUUGUUUUAUGAUGUAAAAUUCAUUUUUUUGUCAUAGUCCACUGAUUUCUUAGGCUUAUUUUGUUGGAAUUUGAUGUUAAAUUGAAGGAAUCACCUGAACAAAUCCCUUUCCCGAUUUAGUAUUCUGUCAAAAGACCUAAUGGCUCGUGAAACACUAUCUGAUUUAAUCGUUCCAGACAGCAAUAUUUUAUACAUCUUUUAUUCAUAGAGCCAAUGCAUAGGGAUUCCUCAACAGGUGCUGUGUGGGUGUCAGACAUUGGCAAAGGGUGGCAAUAAGUUAUGAUCCAAGCCAGCUCAUUAGUCGGCUUAUGAAAACAAAAGACACCAAGACAGAGGCCGUACGUCAUUGAGGAUAACUGAUACUGUCUCUUGUCACACUUGUGUAGCGAGACGAUACCUAAACAGUCAGUUUUAAUAAUAAAUGCUUGGGGCUUUGUGUUUGCUCUUUUAUUAAUAGCCUAUAAAAAUAAACAAAAGAAAAAGCAAAGAAAUAUACAAGGCUUGUUAACUCACACGAGAUAUCACAUUACCUGAUUCUGUAUGCAACGAUGACGUAAAUAAAUCCAGUAAACAACAUCUGCACCCAUUUGAUUAAAUAUUUUGAACACACGAAAAAAAAGAAAAACAGAUUUUAUAUUUAUGACAUCGCACGGGAAAACCCAUCGAUUUUCAAUGAUCAUAUCAAUUCCGAACCAUGGGAUCUCGAGUUGAAUUUGCAUGCAAUUCACUAUGCGACGGGCAGUUGUUUUCGUUCCUUGGAGCUGCCUAGAUCAGCGAAAGCAUCGUGUUUACGAUCUGUACGUCAGCAAAGCGACUAUUUCAAGAAUUUUCGGGUGGGGGGUGUAGUUUGAUUCCGGCCGAAUCGUUGCCAAAACGGACCUCUCCAUCCUCCGAGUGGUUUGUACUUUUUCAGUGAUGGACGAUUGAUUUCCACAAAGCGUAAAUCCUGACAACCAUUUUUAUUUCCUGCUAGUUAUUCCUUUUACGUUUUAUUGGAUGCUAUAUGCUCUUCAUUGCUGGUUAUUGGUUGAAGCCGUGGCUGCCAUCUUUUGUUUCAAUUGGGGUGUCAAGCCUAUGGUUGGAAUGCCUGAAUUGCAAGAUGCCAUUCACGACCUUUAAGGCACAAUAUAAGACAGAUCAAUAAGUAUUUUUAUUGUAUGACGAUAUUACAGACUGCAGGAUGAUCCUUGUUCAUGACAAAGUUAGACAAUCUGUCACGUUUCUCUUGAGCGAAAUACUUUUGGUCGUCUGCAGCAACGAACUCAAUAUUUACCUCGUUUUUUUCAAGCAAAGAAUUCUUUGUAUUUUAAAAACCUUUACUACUGUUUGACAAAAGCAAAACGGUAUUUUUUCUAUUCUGUAAGGUUACAUAAAACUGGAUCAAAAAGUAUAAAACCAGUUUACAUUCUGUACUAAUCUCCUACUAGGAUGAUGACAUUCCUUUGAAAGCCAUUGUGACAUUAACAAUCUCUUUGCUCCGAAUUUGGAAUAGAAAAAAAGGGAAAGUAAAAAAGAUCGAAAGGUCGAGCCAAGAAGAUUUGGAUUCUCCAUUGAUUGAAUUUAAGGUACCAGAGAGACAACCUGCACGGUGGAGAAGUGUUCUUAUCCUGUGGCGGUUACAAAACACAUUACUGCACGUGGAUUAAAUCCAAGACGACAAUCGAUCGAUGGUGCAUCUGCAAAAGAAUGUCUCAAACAUACUUGUGUCCGUAGAAAUUGCGUUAUUUUCAGUCGUGCCGUUUGAAAUGGAUAAAACUCAAAAGUACAGGAAAAUAUUGGAAUGUUUCAGGAACUUUGUGACACACGUUUAUCCUCCGUGACACUGAAUUCACGGCCGAAGCCAACACCAACAAAAAGAAAGUACUUGCACAUGUUUUUCUUGAGAAUACCAUUACGCAGUGGAUGAAGAAUUCGCUGUGUCGAUAUGAAACUGGAAAUCUUGUACGUGUCUAAUUACAACAUUUAUGUAGCCGUAGAGGUUUCAAACAUGGAGUCAACCUUGAUAUUCUUUUCAUCCAAGAAUUGUUGUAGUAAAAUUCAAUAACGCCUUGGUGUCAAUGCAGAACGAAAUUUGAAUUUCCAAUCAUUCCAUUUACUCAGGGUGUUCCCGUGCGUUCAAGACGUCCAGUUACACAGCUCAUUUUACGUAUUGAUUGAGUGUCCAUUUCCCAGAAAGAAGCAAAAAGAGGCUUAACCGACGUAGGAGCGUUCAAGUGAAUCAAAGCUUUCAAAUGUCAAAUAUUUAGUUUUAUGUUAUUAACAUCGGAAAAUAAAUAUAGAAUUGUGUUUAAAGGUU